rnacentral:rRNA from 1 species
GACGAACGCUGGCGGCGUGCUUAACACAUGCAAGUCGAACGGAAAGGCCCUGCUUUUGUGGGGUGCUCGAGUGGCGAACGGGUGAGUAACACGUGCCUAACCUGCCCUUGACUUUGGGAUAACUUCAGGAACCUGGGGCAAAUACCGGAUAGGAGCUCCUGCUGCAUGGUGUGGGUUGGAAAGUUUCGGCGGUUGGGGAUGGACUCGCGGCUCAUCAGCUUGUUGGUGGGGUAGUGGCUUCCCAAGGAUUUGCCGGGUAGCCGGCCUGAGAGGGUGACGGGCCACGUUGGGAUUGGGAUGCGGCCGGGACACCUGCGGAAGGAAGUGGUGGGGAUUAUUGCCAGACGGGCGGAACCGCCGUUCAGGAACGCCGGGUGGAGUUUGGCGGCCUUGGGGUUAAAGCCGGCUUUGGCAUGGGACAGGACGUGCGUGACGGUAUUGGGUAAGGAAGCACCGGCUAACAACGUG